UAUGGAAGAAACCAGGAAGGUGCUUGGU
rnacentral:piRNA from 1 species